GCAGACACAUUCCAGCCAAUCAGCAGCAGACCCUCCCUCCCAGACCCUCCCACCUCCUGGACAGCUCACUAAGAAUGCAGCUUCACAAUGAAUGUAAAAUGGAUGCUGUCCAGGAGGUGGGAGGGUCUGGGAGGGAGGGUCUGCUGCUGAUUGGCUGGAAUGUUUCG